GAUUGUCCCAUAGUAUCUUCAAACGCAAGGUAAAGAUUGUCGAACGUGAAUCAAGACUAAGACUCUCAAACGGACUAGACCAACAACCCUAUUUACAAUGCGGAAACGACACUCUAAGAGAGCCGUCAGGAUAUCUCAGUGCUACAUUCCUACAGGUUUCCCGCCUCCACACUUUCAGAGGGCAAGGAAAAGACAGUGUAAUACUUUGGGACAAACACCCGAGAAACUCGUUCAUCUCGAAAGAAUUCCAUUACCACAAAGGCGAACUGAGAGUACCAGAAGCCCGUUCCUACUUUCUGUACGCCUCCGUUUUAAUAAACACAAGCUGCAUCGAAAGCCGACCACCAGGACAGUUCUGCAGGUUUUAUCUAAGGCUAUGCGCAAAUAAACGCGGAUACGAGCGCAUUCUUCUUCAGAAACUGGCGGUUCGCAACACAACAGACAUCAAUUCUGUGUCAGCCCUUCAUGUCGCCAGUCUUAUUUUUCUGGCAAGGGAUGAGACAGUUUUCGUACGAGUAUCAGAGGCAACCCGCGUAAUUUCCAAAUCUGCAGGAAACGUCUUUAGAAUCAUACCUUUACGUUAGAACAUGCAAAAGAAAUCUUACCCUUUACGCUGAAAUUCUUUUUUAUUUACAAUGAAAAAUGCUUAUAUUUUUGCGAUGUUCUUUUUGCUUUUUCAGGCUUAAGUCAUACAUGCUUUAUUUUUAUCUACAAUGCCAUUUAGUUUUCGUUUGUGUAGUUUGUUUGUACUUGUAUAUCAAUAAUUUACAUUACAUAAAACAUAAAUGGAUCAAAGGCAGAAAACAAUCAUGAAAGUUUCGAAGGAAUACAAAUAUUGUUCGAAAAUCUAGGAAGAAUAAGUCUAAGUGUUUCUUUUAAAUUGUUUACCAUUGUGACAGUUUAGGUAUUCCAUUGGAGAAAAUGUCAUAAAGGUAAAUAAUUUACUGGAUAUGUGUAGUAGAACAUUUUGAAAUAAGUGCUAUUCUAUCCUGAUGAACUUCUUUCGAGCUAGUUGUUCAUAACUAGAUCCUCUACUUUUGUAGAAGUAAGUAACAAUACCCCUUUUUCACAUUCUAAGUUACAUUUGUACUAAAAUAUCAUAAAUAUUUAUGUAAGUGAUUAUUAAGAAAAUGCUGAAUAAACUAUAAUAAUCAGAAAUUAUUUGCUGAUGUUCAUUAGUGUAUUUUUGACUAUAUUUGGACUUUUACGAGGGCUGUUUCAUAAACUCGCGGAAUAUCGAUUUUAUAAGUAAGAUCUAUGCCUUUUUAAACAUUUGAUAUUUUGUUUUUGAAAUAUGAUUUGAAGAUGGAAUCAGGUUCAUAUCUAUGAAAAACGAAAACGACAA
rnacentral:misc_RNA from 1 species